rnacentral:rRNA from 1 species
UACGAAGGGGGCUAGCGUUGCUCGGAAUUACUGGGCGUAAAGCGCACGUAGGCGGCUUCUUAAGUCGGUGGUGAAAUCCUGGAGCUCAACUCCAGAACUGCCUUCGAUACUGAGAAGCUUGAGUCCGGGAGGGGUGAGUGGAACUGCGAGUGUAGAGGUGAAAUUCGUAGAUAUUCGCAAGAACACCAGUGGCGAAGGCGGCUCACUGGCCCGAUACUGACGCUGAGGCACGAAAGCGUGGGGAGCAAACAGG